ensembl:snRNA U6 U6 spliceosomal RNA
GUGUUCUCUUCCGCAGCACAUAUACUAAAAUUGGAGCAAUGCAGAGAAGAUUAGCAUGGUCCCUGCGCAAAGAUAACACGCAAAUUUGUGAAGUGUUUCCUUUUUUU